GGACACCGCUGCUGUCUCUUGGAAGAAGACAUGUCAGUCAGGCUGCUGACCAGCCAGGAGCAUAGAAGAUAGUGCCGACGUUGGGGCUGCCUGAACUGAAGGCCACCACAGGACAAGAGAGGCAGUCCUUGAUUAAGAACCAAAGUCUGGGAGACCUGUGGCUAGAGAAAGCAAGUGAGAAAGCAGAGUGGGGUGACACGGGAACAGAAAACACAGCCUUGAGGAGAAGGUGCGAUGUGCAGAGGAGCUUCCCAGACACCGUGGCCAUUGGGGCGUGUUGGGAUCUUUGCCCUGAGCUGUCCCGAGAAGGUGAGUGCCACCCUGUGGGCAGGAAGGGCCCUGUGAGGAGAGCCCACAGUCCUGCUGUGUCUGAUUGGUCGAUCCAGAGGGCAGCUGUUGGUCUGUUGUUAAUGGAGUCUGUCUCACGUUGGUACAAAUUCAAGACUCAGUGAUACUGAGAAGCCUCCUAGCACAGAAAGAUUUCUGUCCCUGUACAUAAUUGCCUAACUAGUUUAAAGAGGUCCAGUUCGCUCACUUAAGUGACUUAUAUGAACAUAAAGCAGUGUUGAUGGAAACCUGAAGCCUCUGAAUCUACUGACAUCUGAGAAGAGGGAGCAGAAACCACAGCAGAGCCGCAGGGGUACCCAGAAGUGGGGACUCUGGGACAAGCCACCUUGCUUCCUAGGCAAGCAGACUUCAACAUGCUUCAUGGUGAAACACAGGACCAGAGGGACAGAGCGAUGGAGGAGUUGAAACCAGGAGUGGCUUGUGUUCUGCCAGGCACGCUGGGCACUUAGAGUGAAGGGAAGAUGAGGUGGUGCCCUCUUGUCUCCUGCUCAGGACACAUGGCCCUUGCCCACACAGGCAAGUGGGGGGCUGGAACCUCAGGCUACUGAGGAAGCCACUCACACUCGAGACUCAUCUCUGCCAGAUGGAUGAGGGACAAGGGACAAUGCACACUUAAGAGUAGGUCUGCCCCAAGCCCACACUGACCUCUAAUGACCCCUUCAGGCUUGUGAGACCAGCACCCAUCUGCCGUGUGGAUGCGCAGCCUCACCAUUUCCAGUGGAGAAAAAAAGGCAUUGGCCGUUUUCCAUUUGGGUUUUAUUCUUGAGUUUUUGCCAGCUGUUUUCUGCUAGAGUUCCGUGUCCAUCAUAUCACUAUUUCAUUACAGCUGUGAAAUGUGUGCUGAGGGUUAAAACUCCUCUUCACCUUCAUGAAAUCUGAGAAAUCAGACUCUUCUGUGGUUUUCCCCAGGCAACCCAGAGGCUUCGCACACAUCUGCCUAAGAAGCCUGGGGCUGGUCUUGUGAGUCUCGCAGAGACCACUCCCUUCACCCCAGACCCCUCCUGUGCUUGCAAGUCCACGACCUCCUGCCUGCAGCCACGCAGGUCGGCAGUCAGGAGAGGAUCAGAUGAAGGCCUGGUGUCCGGCGGACCUCCUCCAGCUCCACCCUGCCCUUCUGCUGUGCCGCAUGGGUUCCAGCCGCCGUGUUCUAGGAGGGACAGUUCAGAUUGUUCCUCCACUUCACUGCUGGUCCUUGGGGAAUGUCAAGCAGGCUCUGCUCUGUGACAGGUGCCUUGUUUCCAGUAAGCACGUGUCACCCAGCAGCAGGGCUCUGCCCCAAGGUGUCCCAGUGCUGUGCUCAAGGAAGCCGGAGGCGGCACAGGCACACAGAUCCCCUCCUGCUCGGAGACGCCACAGCAGCACCAUGGUGUGUGGGCAGACAGUGCAGGCCCCGCUGCUGCCCGCCGCAGGAAGCGCCUAGGCCCUCACUGUCUCCCAGGCCUGCUGCCUCCUGCAGCUGCACACUCACCCUCCCGUUAUCUGACUCCAUGCAGUGACAUGCUCCCUCUGCUGCGGACUCCCGGUGCCCUGCACAUUGCUGGGCCCAGACCUUGACUGCACCCUGGCCACGGGGGCCACUCAGGUCUCUCAGUCGUGGAGACAGCCCACCCAGGAAACACCUGCUCUCUGUGUCUCACUCAGGCCUCUCCUGCACCGGGAUACUCUGGUGUUUGACUACUGUCUACCUCUAGAGAGCAGGGUUCAACCCCUUACUGCCAUGUCCCCAGAACUUGGGAAGAGUGUCUGGAUAGAAAACCCUGCUCCCAUUUCCAACCGAACAGCAGAAGCGAUCACUUUCUGGCUUCCUGGAAAGGCACAGCCUCUCACAGCCCAGCAAGGCCAGCUUCAUGCAUGUCCUGUCCUUUCAGAGCCUCAGAAACAGCUGUGUGAGCACACGGCUGACUCCAGCAGUCUCCCUGACUGACUUUGUUCUCUGCUUCCUCUGGGGGUGCCAACCUGGAGAAGUCACUGCAUGAAGCUUUCAGGACUGUUCUGUGAGGGGUUCACAGGACCACACAACUUCCCUGAGACUGCAUGACUUUACACCUCAGAAUCAGGCGUGAGAUGUUGGCAGGUCUGUUCCCCAAAUCUGAGAAGGGUCUAGAGAAUCUGCAAGUAGCACUCCUAGGCCACAGUGGGAGUCAUGACUUCAGUGGAAGAUGGACAGCAUUUUGGUUUUUGUAGAUGUAUGUUCUUCACAUUUUUGAAAAUUAGAGCAUUAUAAUGACACAAAGUAUUUGGGUUCAUUUUGACAAGAUCUUACAGGCGAGGAGUAUAAUUUCAAUCCUCAUACCCCUUGAUCCUCCCUCUGCUCUUGACGUCUCUAAAGAGGAAACAGGUGCCUCAGAGAUGCUCAACAGCCAAACCUGAGCAGCAAACCAAAGCUGCCACAAUGAGUGAGUCGGGACAGAAGAAGGAAACAGGCUUCAGCCAUCGCUUUUCAAAUAAUUAAUGAUAACACUUAAAAACUAAAUUAAAUGGGGACUCUCAAAUAAAUAUACCACAAGGGUUGGCAUUUCAGAGUCUUAGGUUCAAAUGUUUGAUCAGCCAAGAACUCAACUCUAGUUUGGGAGACGGUAUCACACGUUCACGUGGCCGACCGCGCAUCCAGCCUCUGGUUCAGGAGACGGUCACACGUUCACGUGGCCGACCGCGCAUCCAGCCUCUGGUUCAGGAGAGGGUGUCCCACACUCGUGGCCGACUACGCAUCUGCCUCUGGUUUGGUAGAGUCAUGAUAACUGUACUUCCCUUUUACUCCAUAUACGGCACAUUUGCCUUGAACCUGACUUCUCUGAGCAAAGGAGCAAAAACCAAAGCACCAGUGACAUAGACGUCACUGUGUUUCAGCGUGCAGCGGCACGUGAGGAUAGUCCAUGUCAGGAAAAAGACCUUUCUUGCACUUCCUGCAGUUGUAUGCCACAGAGGACACCUCCCUGUCCCUGGGGACCUACAUCCUGACUGCUCAGACGCUGCUCCUCGAGUCUGUGGGUGCUGUCUAGUACUCCACCUACACAAACUGCUCAGCCCAGAAUCUCAGGGCAUUUAUAGACACAGACCCUUCUAUCAUCUUAGCAUAGGGUUCCAUCCGACAGGAUUUUAUUGAAGUUCCAGAAAUUAAAAGGACAUGGUAGCACAAAAUAAGGAAAACCCAGGGAGAAAAUGCAAAUGAAACAAAUCCUGAUUUUUGCCUCUCCAAACCAUUUCUAAUCUAAGUCUCCUCUCUCUUUUCCCUCACCUUUCUGUCUUCCCUUUGCACCCCUUAGGAACCCAGGCUACCUUCAAUAUAGGCUAUGCUGGCUAUGCUGGCAAUAUAGGCUAUCUUUUGCCGUUCACCCUUUGACAAGGGUGAGCUGGGAUUUAGGGUGUCCACAAAGUGUCCCUGUCCCAGAUUAUGAAAGGGAGCUUUGGUUUGGCCCUGGGACCCCUCCUAGGAACUCAGUAACUGAGCUCUGGAGAGGUGUGGGCAGCAGACUGCAGUGCUCAGAGGCGAGUGGUCAGGCUGGAUGAGUCCACACUGCCAUCUGGAGGCCCCUGGGAGAGUGACAUGGAGUCCUGGCAUUCCUUGAGGAGUGAGGGUCCUCCAUGCUUUCUGGGACCUCAGCCAAGUCUUCACAAAUCUCGGCUGUCUAGUCAGGCCGAGGUACAGCCCACUCUUGAGAUCACCCGUGACUCCGUACCCCUUCCUGCGGACAUCAAUCUACAUUCCACAUUUUUGGAAUUUUCCUAGUAUAGAAGAAACGUUUUUUCAGGAUGAUUCACAAGCAGUCAGGAGACAAGGAGAGCAACAUGGCCGCUGAACUCAUGCCCAAGUGGACAGGGGCAAUGCGAUGCCCCCCCCCCCCCGGCAUAAGUCUCCCAGGCCUUGGGUGCUCACGGCUGAAUGGUCCAGGCCUCUCCUUUCAUCAGCGGCAGAGAACAGUCGCCACCUUAAAUGCACACACAUCCACUAGGAACUGAAGAAGGUGGGCAAGGCUGCGACGAUGACCCAGAGGUCCCGGGAGACUACGCUCCCAUGCCGCUCUGAGAGCUCCAGCGUGGCCUGACUUAUGCCUGGCUGCGGCCCUCAGCCCCAAGCUCCAGACCAUGUGUGGGCAUGGCUGCCACCCUCCCCACCCGUGAAGCGCCUUCCUUUCAAGUCUACGCCUGCUGCUAGAAACCCAGGGAGUGGGGAAGGAGUUUGAGCUGCACCAGGUCUCAAUCUUUUUCUCACAGCUGAAAGCAGAUAGCAGCCCAUGAUGGCAACAGUAAGUUUUGUUCAGGUUCAAAGAAGCUCUGAAGCAAUUCAUGAAUUCUAGAAGAGUCAGGGAGAUAUCAGCAGAGACAAUAAGACUUUACCUGGACUCCAAAGAGUGUCUUUUAUACAGCUCAAGUGGACAGGAAACAGUAUUAGAACUAAAGAGUGAUGUGACGUCACACCCGCUUGGUGAAGCAGCCCAGCUAAUCAAGGAAGCUGGGUGGGGAGGAAGAGUCUAUUUGUGGAAGAACGGCAAGACCUGAACUUGAGGUGGCAUAAAAGCCAUGGUUGGGUGCUAAGCAACUAUGUGGGUUGCACACGUGAGUGUUCAGGUGGACAGGGUAUCAUGGUUUGGAUGUAAGGUCCCCCAGAAGUUCAUGUGUGACAGUGCAAGAAGGUCUAGAGGAGAAAUGAUGGGGUUACGAGAGCCUUAACCCAAUCAGUGAAUUAAUCACCUAAAGGGUUUAGCUGAGCAGUAACUGGGGGCAGGUGGGGUGGGUUGGAAAAGUGGUUAACUGGGGGCGUGGCUUUGGGGUAUAUAUUUUGUAUCUGGUGAGUGGAGUUGCUCUCUUUGCCUCCUGAUCAUGCGACCUGCUUCCCUCUGCCACACUCUUCCGCCAUGAUGUUCUGACUCACCUUGAGCCCCGAGGAAUGCAGUUAGCCUUCUAUGGACUAAGACCCCUGAAACACUGAGCCCUCAAAUAAACUUUUCCUCCUAUACAAUUGUUCUGGUCGGGUCUUUUACUCCCAGCAGCAAAACAGUUGGCUAAGACACAGUGUGAUGGGCUGUCAGAGCUGGGUGUGUUCUUUACCUGUUGGCUUACCUGGUGGUGUGAUCACACCUGGGACCCCCGUUCCCUCAGCUUCUGGGCCCUCUGCUUGUCUAGCCCACAGCACAGGAGACCUGCUCACUGGAGGGAGGCUGGAGCGGGUGAGACUGACUCAGGAAUCUCCGUGGCAGCAGGCCCUAGUCCCAUCUGUCCUUGUGGCACCCCCCAAUUCCAGCCUGUGCUGUGGAUUUCAGUUCUAGUAUUGAGCACAGAAACAAAGGCCUCACAGAUUAACCCAGAUCCUUAUUAAUUUGGUGAGAUCAAAUUUUACCACAGACCCAUCUUGUGCUUCCCAGGUUGCUUCUCUGGUGGAACCUGUCUGCUGAAGAUGUAGACACUCCCCAGCUGUGUCUGCAGGGAUCACCACUGGGAUCAAAAGAUCUGAUGAGAGGAACUUGGGAGGAGAAAAAGCCCAUCUUGGCUCAGAGGUGUUUCUGGUUCUGAGGUUUAGUCCCUGGUUGUCAGACUCCAUAGCUCUGGACCAAGGCGAGGCAGAACAUCAUGGCACAAGGGCAUGGUGGAGCAAAGUUGCCCGGCUCAUGGCAGCCUGGAGGCACAGGGAGGGGAGAGAGCUGCAGGGACAAUGCACUCUUCCAAGGUCCCUGCAGGGCAGUUGACAGGUCCCUGCAGGGGCUGGGCAUAUGGCCUAGAGGUGAGCAGUGAGCUCUAUAAAUCCCAGGAGCCCUGUUCCUAAGAUAAACUGGCCAACAAGAUAGAUUUCUCCAAAAUCCUUGAAAGAAAGCAUCUUCCCUGAACAUCCCCAGGGACCCACCUUCUCCAGAUAUGUCCAACCUGCCUGGUCACCACCCAGUUAGUUCACUCAGACUAGGAUGGACCACUGGGUUACAACUCUCAUAAUCCAAUCAUUUUGCCUCUAUAAACAUGCCUGCAUAAACUUUACGGGGCACUUACAUUCAAAACAUUACAUCUGAGUAUUUGAUAUUAAAAAAGCAAAUUUUUAUAUCCUAAUCCUAUGGCAGGGACAGCCCAAGAGCUGGUGUGAAUCUAGGGAAGGGAGACUGAGUGAAAUAUUAACAUACAUGUACUGCAGAUCAUAAAGGGCGCAACUGGGUAACAUGUACAGAAAAGAAAAGAAGGAACCCUACUGGGGUAAUAAAUAAGACCCUUGGUAGAAAGAUAAUUGUCCUGCUAAUUUGUCAAAUCCUGAUCAGCUGGACUGUAGUAAUCUCCAAGAGUAGGCCUGCAGCUGAGGCAAAUGUCCAGCUCAAGAGUAGCACCUAUGCACACAGGCUUGGAUCAGGUUAUGUUCUAGAGGUCAAACCUACUAAAGCACAUGGCAGGAAGCACUUCCACACUACACAUAUAGGCAUCGAGAGUCAGUCUGUGCCCAGGGAGCGAGGGCAACACCUCCACAGUGGGCAGUGAGCAGAUGAGUGAGGGCAACACCUACACACUGGGCAGUGAGAAGGGAGUGAGGGCAAAACCUACAGAGUGGGCAGU